rnacentral:rRNA from 1 species
CAGCCGCCACGGGAAUACGGAGGGGGCUAGCGUUGUUCGGAAUUACUGGGCGUAAAGCGCACGUAGGCGGCUUUUUAAGUCAGAGGUGAAAGCCCGGGGCUCAACUCCGGAACUGCCUUUGAGACUGGGAGGCUUGAACGUCGGAGAGGUGAGUGGAAUUCCGAGUGUAGAGGUGAAGUUCGUAGAUAUUCGGAAGAACACCAGUGGCGAAGGCGGCUCACUGGACGACUGUUGACGCUGAGGUGCGAAAGCGUGGGGAGCAAACAGGAUUAGAUACCCGCGUAGUCCCUGUCUCUUAUAC